rnacentral:rRNA from 1 species
UCCUGACUGACCGAUAGUGAACCAGUACCGUGAGGGAAAGGCGAAAAGAACCCCGGCGAGGGGAGUGAAAAAGAACCUGAAACCGUGUACGUACAAGCAGUGGGAGCACGCUUAGGCGUGUGACUGCGUACCUUUUGUAUAAUGGGUCAGCGACUUAUAUUCUGUAGCAAGGUUAACCGAAUAGGGGAGCCGAAGGGAAACCGAGUCUUAACUGGGCGUUAAGUUGCAGGGUAUAGACCCGAAACCCGGUGAUCUAGCCAUGGGCAGGUUGAAGGUUGGGUAACACUAACUGGAGGACCGAACCGACUAAUGUUGAAAAAUUAGCGGAUGACUUGUGGCUGGGGGUGAAAGGCCAAUCAAACCGGGAGAUAGCUGGUUCUCCCCGAAAGCUAUUUAGGUAGCGCCUCGUGAAUUCAUCUCCGGGGGUAGAGCACUGUUUCGGCAAGGGGGUCAUCCCGACUUACCAACCCGAUGCAAACUGCGAAUACCGGAGAAUGUUAUCACGGGAGACACACGGCGGGUGCUAACGUCCGUCGUGAAGAGGGAAACAACCCAGACCGCCAGCUAAGGUCCCAAAGUCAUGGUUAAGUGGGAAACGAUGUGGGAAGGCCCAGACAGCCAGGAUGUUGGCUUAGAAGCAGCCAUCAUUUAAAGAAAGCGUAAUAGCUCACUGGUCGAGUCGGCCUGCGCGGAAGAUGUAACGGGGCUAAACCAUGCACCGAAGCUGCGGCAGCGACGCUUAUGCGUUGUUGGGUAGGGGAGCGUUCUGUAAGCCUGCGAAGGUGUGCUGUGAGGCAUGCUGGAGGUAUCAGAAGUGCGAAUGCUGACAUAAGUAACGAUAAAGCGGGUGAAAAGCCCGCUCGCCGGAAGACCAAGGGUUCCUGUCCAACGUUAAUCGGGGCAGGGUGAGUCGACCCCUAAGGCGAGGCCGAAAGGCGUAGUCGAUGGGAAACAGGUUAAUAUUCCUGUACUUGGUGUUACUGCGAAGGGGGGACGGAGAAGGCUAUGUUGGCCGGGCGACGGUUGUCCCGGUUUAAGCGUGUAGGCUGGUUUUCCAGGCAAAUCCGGAAAAUCAAGGCUGAGGCGUGAUGACGAGGCACUACGGUGCUGAAGCAACAAAUGCCCUGCUUCCAGGAAAAGCCUCUAAGCAUCAGGUAACAUCAAAUCGUACCCCAAACCGACACAGGUGGUCAGGUAGAGAAUACCAAGGCGCUUGAGAGAACUCGGGUGAAGGAACUAGGCAAAAUGGUGCCGUAACUUCGGGAGAAGGCACGCUGAUAUGUAGGUGAAGUCCCUUGCGGAUGGAGCUGAAAUCAGUCGAAGAUACCAGCUGGCUGCAACUGUUUAUUAAAAACACAGCACUGUGCAAACACGAAAGUGGACGUAUACGGUGUGACGCCUGCCCGGUGCCGGAAGGUUAAUUGAUGGGGUCAGCGCAAGCGAAGCUCUUGAUCGAAGCCCCGGUAAACGGCGGCCGUAACUAUAACGGUCCUAAGGUAGCGAAAUUCCUUGUCGGGUAAGUUCCGACCUGCACGAAUGGCGUAAUGAUGGCCAGGCUGUCUCCACCCGAGACUCAGUGAAAUUGAACUCGCUGUGAAGAUGCAGUGUACCCGCGGCAAGACGGAAAGACCCCGUGAACCUUUACUAUAGCUUGACACUGAACAUUGAGCCUUGAUGUGUAGGAUAGGUGGGAGGCUUUGAAGUGUGGACGCCAGUCUGCAUGGAGCCGGCCUUGAAAUACCACCCUUUAAUGUUUGAUGUUCUAACGUGGACCCGUGAUCCGGGUUGCGGACAGUGUCUGGUGGGUAGUUUGACUGGGGCGGUCUCCUCCUAAAGAGUAACGGAGGAGCACGAAGGUUGGCUAAUCCUGGUCGGACAUCAGGAGGUUAGUGCAAUGGCAUAAGCCAGCUUGACUGCGAGCGUGACGGCGCGAGCAGGUGCGAAAGCAGGUCAUAGUGAUCCGGUGGUUCUGAAUGGAAGGGCCAUCGCUCAACGGAUAAAAGGUACUCCGGGGAUAACAGGCUGAUACCGCCCAAGAGUUCAUAUCGACGGCGGUGUUUGGCACCUCGAUGUCGGCUCAUCACAUCCUGGGGCUGAAGUAGGUCCCAAGGGUAUGGCUGUUCGCCAUUUAAAGUGGUACGCGAGCUGGGUUUAGAACGUCGUGAGACAGUUCGGUCCCUAUCUGCCGUGGGCGCUGGAGAACUGAGGGGGGCUGCUCCUAGUACGAGAG